UCCUGACAUGUAUUGGACGUCCUGAUACGGGAUCCGGCAAUCGCGGUAGUAUUGUUAUUUAAUCGGUGAAAGUGACUUUUUUUCCCGUUUUUAGUAGAGCGUAAACGUUUUAUGAAAUAUUUUGACGACACAUGGAUUAUUUGAAUACAGGUUCGUUUAAGAAGACAACGGUGAACCAGAAUGUUCACGGAUGGAGCCGUCACAAGAACCUUUGCAUGCAUGGAGUAUCCUGAAACCCCUGGUCUCCCCCCGUGGAUUUAUCGUCUCCAUCAAUCAGCGUUCAUCUUCACAAGGUGCGUUUUUGUUUCAACACCCUCUCUGGCCGAAGAAUCUUCAGGUGCUUACAAACCUUGACCUGAUUUUAAAACAAGGACCAUUAAACGAGAAAGUAAAGAUGGGAAAACGGACGACAAUAUUUUAUCAGAAGCAAGAGCCUGUGCUGGGGCAGGUUUAGCAUAACAGAAUACCAAUAUGCAAGUCUAGUGCCUGCCUAAUCCACACCUUGGGACAGUAUAUAAAAGGUAAAAGGCGUGUUUUCCCUUCGUGCCCAGCCCGGUUUUAUGCCCAUAAACUUUUUAUGACUAAGCCUGGAAGUGGAGUUCUCCUUUA